rnacentral:rRNA from 1 species
GACGUAGGGCGCGAGCGUUGUCCGGAUUUAUUGGGCGUAAAGAGCUCGUAGGCGGCUCGUUGCGUCGGCUGUGAAAACCCGCAGCUCAACUGUGGGCUUGCAGCUGAUGCGGGCGGGCUGGGAUUCGGUAGGGGAGACUGGAAUUCCUGGUGUAGCGGUGAAAUGCGCAGAUAUCAGGAGGAACACCGGUGGCGAAGGCGGGUCUCUGGGCCGAUAUCGACGCUGAGGAGCGAAAGCGUGGGGAGCGAACAGG